UUUCCUUUCAAUUCCAUUGUGAUCACAGUGUUCCUCUGACAUCAGCCUGUUCUCCGGCAGGCGAAACAUCCCUACAUCUGUCAAGGGUUUCAGGAGGAUAACACAGGAAGGUCCUGCAGGGUCUAUCGCUCAGCACAAACACCCCAUGAGCCUCUGGGCACGUCUGUCUCAUUCCAUACAGACAUCCCGGGCACUGUGCGGCACAUGGUUUCCAUCAGGGAGCUGCCUCUGCAGGGUGCCUGUCUGCACACCUUAACGGGGCACCCAGAGGCGCAGCGGCCCUCUUUUCAAUCACAUGGAGUCUCUAAGGGGACAACCUCAUCCUCUGGGAGCCAGGCAGACAGGAGGGCGAAGCAAGCUCUUGCAGGAUGGAAGGGAAAUGAUUGUGUGGGGAAUUGCCUGAUCUUGACAUUUGAAAUCUGCAGGGUCCGUCUGGGAGGUGACUAA
rnacentral:lncRNA from 1 species